UGUAAACUUUAGGGGUGCUAAUUAAUUUUGGCUGAGAAAAACCCUUAGAACCUGAUCUGGUUAAUACCAGCGAAGGGAAAAGUUAGAACUUGCAU
rnacentral:ncRNA from 2 species